rnacentral:rRNA from 1 species
UACAGAGGGUGCGAGCGUUGUCCGGAAUCACUGGGCGUAAAGGGCGCGUAGGCGGCUCGGUAAGGUUGCGGUGAAAGCCCGGGGCUCAACCCCGGGUCGGCCGUGGCAACUGCUGAGCUGAGCACUGUAGAGGCAGGUGGAAUUCCGGGUGUAGCGGUGGAAUGCGUAGAGAUCCGGAAGAACACCGGUGGCGAAGGCGGCCUGCUGGGCAGUGGCU